UUUGAUUGGUUAAUUUAUUUUUAGCUAUGGCUCUUCGCUGAUCUAUGUGUAAACCCUGUUAUUAGGUAAUUGCAUUUGGGAUUAAUUGGAGUAUUGAAAUGAUGAUCAAAUAUGAAAUGACACGUUCACGUUACAAUGACCGAUGUUUAUCCACAACAUUGUCAGGCCAGAUAACCAUGUCCAUGUUUGACUUGUGUCAGUGACCAUGUGAUUCAAGGCUUCCAUUGCUGUGGAGUGCAUUGAACGACAUCAUGGCCUAGAAGAACAUACCCGGGGAUAAUACCAGCAGCAACAAGUAUCACGCAACCGCCAAAAUGCACGCCGCCAUUUUGAAGCAUGUCUGAGUGAACCGAUGGUUUCCAUGGAUUCCACGAAGAUUCAAUUGAUUUGUUGGUUUUUAAUUCUCCAAUUAUUUUUAAAAAUAAACAUUUUGGUGAAUGCUGUUUGUGUUCUUCCAACGGAUCAUCUUCUUUCCCCCAUUGGUGUAAUCGUACUGCACACGAAAAACAUUCUACUGUAUCGUUUUUACCUGUGUAAUAAAAGCCAGCUGAUGAUAACUGAAA